rnacentral:rRNA from 1 species
UGGGGAAUAUUGGACAAUGGGGGCAACCCUGAUCCAGCAAUGCCGCGUGUGUGAAGAAGGUCUUCGGAUUGUAAAGCACUUUCGACGGGGACGAUGAUGACGGUACCCGUAGAAGAAGCCCCGGCUAACUUCGUGCCAGCAGCCGCGGUAAUACGAAGGGGGCUAGCGUUGCUCGGAAUGACUGGGCGUAAAGGGCGUGUAGGCGGUUUACACAGUCAGAUGUGAAAUCCCCGGGCUUAACCUGGGAGCUGCAUUUGAUACGUGUAGACUAGAGUGUGAGAGAGGGUUGUGGAAUUCCCAGUGUAGAGGUGAAAUUCGUAGAUAUUGGGAAGAACACCGGUGGCGAAGGCGGCAACCUGGCUCAUGACUGACGCUGAGCGCGAAAGCGUGGGGAGCAAACAGGAUU